CUGCUAGCUUCAGGAGCACAUGUACGACAAUUAUACUGAAACAGAGAAGAGCAGCACGGCUCCUGAGCAGGGAUGAGGCACAAAUGCCUGAAGGGUUCCAUUAUUUA